CAAAGGUUAAUUCCGGUGGCGGAUGGGCAUGCGUCGCAUUAGUUAGUUGGCGGUGUAACGGACCACCAAGACGACGAUGCGUAGGGGUUCUGAGAGGAAGGUCCCCCACACUGGUACUGAGACACGGACCAGACUCCUACGGGAGGCAGCAGUGAGGAAUAUUGGUCAAUGGGCGGGAGCCUGAACCAGCCAAGUCGCGUGAGGGAUGACGGCCCUAUGGGUUGUAAACCUCUUUUGCCGGGGAGCAAAGUGCCGCACGUGUGCGGUUUGGAGAGUACCCGGAGAAAAAGCAUCGGCUAACUCCGUGCCAGCAGCCGCGGUAAUACGGAGGAUGCGAGCGUUAUCCGGAUUUAUUGGGUUUAAAGGGUGCGUAGGCGGACGCCUAAGUCAGCGGUAAAAUUGCGGGGCUCAACCUCGUCGAGCCGUUGAAACUGGGUGCCUUGAGUGGGCGAGAAGUACGCGGAAUGCGUGGUGUAGCGGUGAAAUGCAUAGAUAUCACGCAGAACUCCGAUUGCGAAGGCAGCGUACCGGCGCCCAACUGACGCUGAAGCACGAAGGCGUGGGUAUCGAACAGGAUUAGAUACCCUGGUAGUCCACGCAGUAAACGAUGAAUGCUAGUUGUCCGGGGCGAUUG
rnacentral:rRNA from 1 species